UACAUAAAUAAUGAUGGGGUCUAAAUUAGCUGUACCACUCAAGAAAGAGAUCUUGGAGCCAUUGUGGAUGGUCUCGAAUCUAAACAUCCACUCAAUGUGCAGCAGCAGGCA